rnacentral:rRNA from 1 species
GACGAACGCUGGCGGCGUGCUUAACACAUGCAAGUCGAACGGUGAAGCGCCUUCCUUUUUGGUGGGUGUGGAUGAGUGGCGAACGGGUGAGUAACACGUGAGUAACCUGCCCCCUUCUUCUGGAUAACCGCAUGAAAGUGUGGCUAAUACGGGAUAUUCUGGGUCUGUCGCAUGAUGGGUCUGGGAAAGAUAUUGUUUCGGUGGGGAUGGGCUCGCGGCCUAUCAGCUUGUUGGUGGGGUGAUGGCCUACCAAGGCGGUGACGGGUAGCCGGCCUGAGAGGGUGGGCGGUCACACUGGGACUGAGACACGGACCAGACUCCUACAGGAGGCAGCAGUGGGGAAUAUUGCACAAUGGGCGCAAGCCUGAUGCAGCGACGCCGCGUGAGGGAUGGAGGCCUUCGGGUUGUGAACCUCUUUCGCCAGUGAAGCAGGCCUGCCUCGUUUGUGGGUGGGUUGACGGUAGCUGGAUAAGAAGCGCCGGCUAACUACGUG